rnacentral:rRNA from 1 species
AUUGAACGCUGGCGGCAUGCCUUACACAUGCAAGUCGAACGGCAGCACAGGGAGCUUGCUCCUGGGUGGCGAGUGGCGAACGGGUGAGUAAUGUAUCGGAACGUGCCCAGUAGUGGGGGAUAACUACUCGAAAGAGUGGCUAAUACCGCAUGAGAUCUCUGGAUGAAAGUGGGGGACCGCAAGGCCUCACGCUACUGGAGCGGCCGAUAUCAGAUUAGGUUGUUGGUGGGGUAAAGGCCUACCAAGCCUGCGAUCUGUAGCUGGUCUGAGGGGACGACCAGCCACACUGGGACUGAGGCACGGCCCAGACUCCUACGGGAGGCAGCAGUGGGGAAUUUUGGACAAUGGGCGCAAGCCUGAUCCAGCAAUGCCGCGUGCAGGAUGAAGGCCUUCGGGUUGUAAACUGCUUUUGUACGGAACGAAAAGGCUCUGGUUAAUACCUGGGGUCCAUGACGGUACCGUAAGAAUAAGCACCGGCUAACUACGUGCCAGCCGCCGCGGUAA